UACAGAGGUCUCAAGCGUUUGUUCGGAUUCAUUGGGCGUAAAGGGUGCGUAGGUGACGCCGUAAGUGGGGUGUGAAAUUUCGGAGCUUAACUCCGAAACUGCAUUCCAUACUGCGGUGCUUGAGGACUGGAGAGGAGACUGGAAUUUACGGUGUAGCAGUGAAAUGCGUAGAGAUCGUAAGGAAGACCAGUGGCGAAGGCGGGUCUCUGGACAGUUCCUGACACUGAGGCACGAAGGCCAGGGGAGCAAACGGG
rnacentral:rRNA from 1 species